rnacentral:snRNA from 1 species
GGAUAUGAGGGUGAUCUGGCUAUGACAUCAAUCACCGUGUUAGUUGCCAGGGUUGAUUCAGCUGAUCUAGCUGGAUAGGCUGGAGUCCCUUUCCUACCUCAGCCGUUUGUGUGCAACCCUUCUGAAGGUGCAUACUCGGUAGACCACCCAGGGUAGAGGAGUACCAUUCCUUGGUCAAGGGUAUACGAGUAGCUGUGCUGUCCUGCUAGAACCUCCCAACUCUCAAGGAGGGGGAGUUUUCUCUUGCCUAAUGUUAUGAAAUUCUGUGGCAUGCUUUGAAAGAUCUUU